rnacentral:rRNA from 1 species
GCGCGCGCAGGCGGUUUCUUAAGUCUGAUGUGAAAGCCCACGCCUCAACCGGGGAGGGGCAUUGGAAACUGGGGAACUUGAGUGCAGAAGAGAAAGGCGGAAUUCCACGUGUAGCGGUGAAAUGCGUAGAGAUGUGGAGGAACACCAGUGGCGAAGGCGGCCUUUUGGUCUGUAACUGACGCUGAGGCGCGAAAGCGUGGGGAGCAAACAGGAUUAGAUACCCUGGUAGUCCACGCCGUAAACGAUGUCUGCUAGGUGUUGGAGGCUUUGCGCCC